rnacentral:rRNA from 1 species
CGCCUCUUGAGUUAAUAUAAGAGGUCCAGCCUGCCCAGUGACCCUGUUCAACGGCCGCGGUAUCCUAACCGUGCGAAGGUAGCGUAAUCACUUGUUCUUUAAAUGAGGACUAGUAUGAACGGCAUCACGAAGGUUAUACUGUCUCCUUUUUCUAAUCAGUGAACCUAAUCUCCCCGUGAAGAAGCGGGAAUAUAACUAUAAGACGAGAAGACCCUAUGGAGCUUAAAACAACACAGCACUUGCUAAAAAACUAAGCAUUCCCGAAUUUUUACUUUCUAGGCAACAUGACUGUAAGUUUUUGGUUGGGGUGACCACGGAGUACAAUAUAACCUCCAUGUUGAAAGAAUUUUUUUCUAAGCCAAAAAUUACACUUUUAAGCAUCAAUAAAUUGACAUCUAUUGACCCAAUAUAUUUGAACAACGAACCAAGUUACCCUAGGGAUAACAGCGCAAUCCACUUCAAGAGCUCCUAUCGACAAGUGGGUUUACGACCUCGAUGUUGGAUCAGGGUUUCCCAGUGGUGCAGCCGCUACUAAAGGUUCGUUUGUUCAACGAUUAAAACCCU